rnacentral:misc_RNA from 1 species
UCCAGGUUAUCCCUGGCGGUCUCCUGCGAGUUCCACUUUUUACAGUAUGGCAACACAGGACAAGGGUUGCGCUCGUUGCGGGACUUAACCCAACAUCUCACGACACGAGCUGACGACAGCCAUGCAGCACCUAUACUACGGUCCCUUGCGGGAAGGCCUACUUUCAUAAGCUGGUCCGUAGCAUUUCGAGCCCAGGUAAGGUUCUUCGCGUUGCGUCGAAUUAAACCACAUGCUCCACCGCUUGUGCGGGCCCCCGUCAAUUCCUUUGAGUUUCAGCCUUGCGACUGUACUCCCCAGGCGGCAUAUUUAACGCGUUAGCUCCGGCACGGAUCAACUGAAUGACCCACACCAAAUAUGCAUCGUUUAGGGCGUGGACUAC